AGAGUUUGAUCCUGGCUCAGGAUGAACGCUGGCGGCGUGCCUAAUACAUGCAAGUCGAGCGAACGGACGAGAAGCUUGCUUCUCUGAUGUUAGCGGCGGACGGGUGAGUAACACGUGGAUAACCUACCUAUAAGACUGGGAUAACUUCGGGAAACCGGAGCUAAUACCGGAUAAUAUUUUGAACCGCAUGGUUCAAAAGUGAAAGACGGUCUUGCUGUCACUUAUAGAUGGAUCCGCGCUGCAUUAGCUAGUUGGUAAGGUAACGGCUUACCAAGGCAACGAUGCAUAGCCGACCUGAGAGGGUGAUCGGCCACACUGGAACUGAGACACGGUCCAGACUCCUACGGGAGGCAGCAGUAGGGAAUCUUCCGCAAUGGGCGAAAGCCUGACGGAGCAACGCCGCGUGAGUGAUGAAGGUCUUCGGAUCGUAAAACUCUGUUAUUAGGGAAGAACAUAUGUGUAAGUAACUGUGCACAUCUUGACGGUACCUAAUCAGAAAGCCACGGCUAACUACGUGCCAGCAGCCGCGGUAAUACGUAGGUGGCAAGCGUUAUCCGGAAUUAUUGGGCGUAAAGCGCGCGUAGGCGGUUUUUUAAGUCUGAUGUGAAAGCCCACGGCUCAACCGUGGAGGGUCAUUGGAAACUGGAAAACUUGAGUGCAGAAGAGGAAAGUGGAAUUCCAUGUGUAGCGGUGAAAUGCGCAGAGAUAUGGAGGAACACCAGUGGCGAAGGCGACUUUCUGGUCUGUAACUGACGCUGAUGUGCGAAAGCGUGGGGAUCAAACAGGAUUAGAUACCCUGGUAGUCCACGCCGUAAACGAUGAGUGCUAAGUGUUAGGGGGUUUCCGCCCCUUAGUGCUGCAGCUAACGCAUUAAGCACUCCGCCUGGGGAGUACGACCGCAAGGUUGAAACUCAAAGGAAUUGACGGGGACCCGCACAAGCGGUGGAGCAUGUGG
rnacentral:rRNA from 1 species